AGAGUUUGAUCCUGGCUCAGGAUGAACGCUAGCGACAGGCUUAACACAUGCAAGUCGAGGGGCAGCAUGAUUUGUAGCAAUACAGAUUGAUGGCGACCGGCGCACGGGUGAGUAACGCGUAUGCAACUUACCUAUCAGAGGGGGAUAACCCGGCGAAAGUCGGACUAAUACCGCAUGAAGCAGGGGCCCCGCAUGGGGAUAUUUGCUAAAGAUUCAUCGCUGAUAGAUAGGCAUGCGUUCCAUUAGGCAGUUGGCGGGGUAACGGCCCACCAAACCGACGAUGGAUAGGGGUUCUGAGAGGAAGGUCCCCCACAUUGGUACUGAGACACGGACCAAACUCCUACGGGAGGCAGCAGUGAGGAAUAUUGGUCAAUGGCCGAGAGGCUGAACCAGCCAAGUCGCGUGAAGGAAGAAGGAUCUAUGGUUUGUAAACUUCUUUUAUAGGGGAAUAAAGUGGAGGACGUGUCCUUUUUUGUAUGUACCCUAUGAAUAAGCAUCGGCUAACUCCGUGCCAGCAGCCGCGGUAAUACGGAGGAUGCGAGCGUUAUCCGGAUUUAUUGGGUUUAAAGGGUGCGUAGGUGGUGAUUUAAGUCAGCGGUGAAAGUUUGUGGCUCAACCAUAAAAUUGCCGUUGAAACUGGGUUACUUGAGUGUGUUUGAGGUAGGCGGAAUGCGUGGUGUAGCGGUGAAAUGCAUAGAUAUCACGCAGAACUCCGAUUGCGAAGGCAGCUUACUAAACCAUAACUGACACUGAAGCACGAAAGCGUGGGGAUCAAACAGGAUUAGAUACCCUGGUAGUCCACGCAGUAAACGAUGAUCACUAGCUGUUUGCGAUACACUGUAAGCGGCACAGCGAAAGCGUUAAGUGAUCCACCUGGGGAGUACGCCGGCAACGGUGAAACUCAAAGGAAUUGACGGGGGCCCG
rnacentral:rRNA from 1 species